UACGUAGGGAGCAAGCGUUGUCCGGAAUCAUUGGGCGUAAAGCGCGCGUAGGCGGCCCUGUAAGUCCGUUGUGAAAGUCAAAGGCUCAACCUUUGAAAGCCGAUGGAUACUGCAGGGCUAGAGUCCGGAAGAGGCGAGUGGAAUUCCUGGUGUAGCGGUGAAAUGCGCAGAUAUCGGGAGGAACACCGGCGGCGAAGGCGGCACUCUGGGCCGGUACUGACGCUGAGGAGCGAAAGCGUGGGGAGCAAACAGG
rnacentral:rRNA from 1 species